AUUGAACGCUGGCGGCAGGCCUAACACAUGCAAGUCGAACGAGUGGCGGACGGGUGAGUAAUGUCUGGGGAUCUGCCUGAUGGAGGGGGAUAACUACUGGAAACGGUAGCUAAUACCGCAUACCAUCGGAUGUGCCCAUAUGGGAUUAGCUGGUGGGUGGGGUAAAGGCUCACCAAGGCGACGAUCCCUAGCUGGUCUGAGAGGGUGACCAGCCACACUGGAACUGAGACACGGCCCAGACUCCUACGGGAGGCAGCAGUGGGGAAUAUUGCACAAUGGGCGCAAGCCUGAUGCAGCCAUGCCGCGUGUAUGAAGAAGGCCUUAGGGUUGUAAAGUACUUUCAGCGGGGAGGCGUUACCCGCAGAAGAAGCACCGGCUAACUCCGUGCCAGCAGCCGCGGUAAUAC
rnacentral:rRNA from 1 species